rnacentral:rRNA from 1 species
GCCAUAUCACUUUGAAAUACCGGUUCUAGUACGAUCACCGAAGUUAAGUAACGUCGAGCCUGGUCAGUACCUAGAGGAGUGACCGCUUGGAAAUACCAGGUGCUGAA